UGUCCAAGGCACACAUUACCAGAGGUUGGCAAUGUAUUAUUUGACAUACAUACCAAGAGAAAGUACUGGCAUUUCACAAAAACACACCCCUAAAACCAAAUAAAGUAUAUAGCCCCAUGGUCACAUAACAUCUCUAGGUAUGUAACCAUACAUAGCAACCUUCGUAUUAUGGAUGAAAAACAAAUUUUCCUCCAUAUUAAUAAUCCUGCACACAUCAUCAUGUGAACCUGGAUGUUACAUACCAGUGAAAUACUAUAGGUAUCAUGCUUACUUCAAAGAGUUCAAGGUAUCUGCACUGAGGGGGUUAAUUGACUGUAAAACCAACUUAUUUAUGCCAGAGCAUUCCACAAGGCAAAAAACAUUGCCAAAGGCAGUGAACCCUUUUCUACCGUUUAGUUUUUGCAUGAGUGCAAAAACAGAUAAUCAAACAAGUGCUAUUUAGUUAUACUCUUGGUUUGCCACACACACUUUAACCUAAUAGACAAGUGUCAGAGAAACUUCAUUUCCCAUACAGAGUUGAACAUGAAUGAAAGAUUUAUAAGCAGAAUGUUGAUCAGACAUCAAAAGAAAUGGGCUAAUGGCGAUUCAUGUUUUAUGUAUAGAUUUGUAUUUCUUUACAUAGUGGCAAAAUUUGAUUGCAUAUUUAUUCAUUUAUAAGAUAUGACUGUUUACUGAUGAAAAGAACCAUAUUUAAGUGGAGUGAAAAAUCUCAAGAUAUUUUUUAUAGUAUGGAGCAGCCAUUGUAAAUAAAUGAUCAACAGAGGAGGGUUGGGUUAAUAAUGGUUAAAAGGCAUGUCAGAAGUACUAAAAGUGAUAACAGGUCUGGCCUGUAUGGAAUGUCCAGCCAUUUGUUUUCUAAUUACUGGAUGUCCACUUCCAUCAUUCUCAGCAUUCCACUCUCAGUGAGGUAUUGACAGAAGCCACAUAUAAUACAGCAGUCAUAUGGUCCCAGGGGCCUCAGCCAUGAGAUAUCAAUGCUACUACUAGUAUUUCUUACUAUCAAGGUUGGUUGUUGUAAACAGUGCACCUAACAUUAGAAUACUCUAUAUGGAUUUCAAUUAUGAAAAAGCAAUGAUCACAAUUCUAUUUGUCAACAUGGUA